rnacentral:sRNA from 1 species
ACAACUUGUGCAGUAACGGUAUCGGCAGUCAGGUAUUCAACCCUAACAAAAACAGAGGAGGCUGCUGGAAUCCGCAAAUUCACCCUCCCACCAUGCCCGGGCUACAAAGGCUGUACCCUUUCUCCGCUGGAUUUUGGAGACAGUUUCCGUGGGAUAAGUGGUCUCCAAUUUUCGGCGUCCGUUCGGGAUAAAUCUGUCAUUCUGUUUGUUGACGAUAUCAAGAUGAAUUGGUAUAACAACAGCUGUGCUGCCGGUUUAGAACGGCUUCGUUCCCGUUGAAAUGUUUGACCCAAACCCGUUGCGAGAACACAAGGGGAGCAUGGAGAGCAUGGACCGGAAUUGAGCCCAUGUGCACCUGUAUGGAAUCGUAUUGUUCUCCGAUGCUUGAAUCUAUGUAUUAUGAUAUCCAAUGUUUGCUUUUCAGAACAGGGGGCGUAACUUUGUUUUUCACACUUCGGCAUUUAUCCUAAUGGUAAA